UGGGUGUGUUUUCACAUGUAUUAAUAGCAAUAACGUUUGCCCUGUAUCUGGGCUGAGACUCAGCUGUUGCAGCAGUCUGUCUCUGUCAGUCACAGUCCACAUUUACUGCCCUUUCUCUGCCCUCUCUCUCUCAAAUAUCACCUACUGUCAUUACGUUUCUUCAACAAUUCAACAUUACGCUGGUUCCUUCUCAUUUGGUGCACACAUCUCUUUAUUUCUGACUAUACUCUUCCUCUGUCCCUUGCUGGACUUUGUCUUCUUCUACUUUGUCCGAACUCUCCUGUCCUCAUCUGACCGUUUCUGUUUUGUACCUGCCCGUAGUCUGUCCAGAAAUAACGGUUGACCUGUUUUUUGACGUGUUAAAUGUCUCCCAACUCUAUUUCCAACUGCGUACAGAACAGUCUAGUCAAGUUACAGACAGCAUGCGAUCCACGAACCACUACAUUUGUUACAUCACCUCUAAGUAAUAUAAAUGCCAGGAGGACACUAUUACCCUCUGUUUUAGAUUUAUUUUUUGGCCCAAAUCUCUAAUUAACAAUCACAAACUAGAUUACUUUUUUGGGAAUGGUGAUCUAGAGAUUACAGGAAACCGCACUACUUGCUUGCACUGGACUUCUAAUGAUCUUGUACUGCUAUAAGUGAUCCUCAGGUGUUUAAAAGGUCUAUCCAUUUCAUCUGGGAGGCAGACGCCCUCUCCACAUUUAAGACUUUCCUCUUUGAUAACGCUUAUAGUUAGGGCUGGCUCAGGCUGCCUUGGACCAGCCCUUAGUUACGCUGCUAUAGGCCUAGACUGCUGGGGGACUUCCUGUGAUACACUGAGCUCCUCUCCUCUCCAUCUGGAUGCAUUCUUGUCCAAUUCAUGUAUGUAACUAACUUAAUUUCUUCCCUGGAGUCUUUGUGCUUUCUCGUCUCGCAGGUUUCCAUGGAUCAAGGUUACACCUGGACCAGAGGCCUGCACUACGAAGAGAGUUCAACAUACCCGGGGUUCCUUCUCGUUAUCUGUCUUAACUAACCUGAACAACCGAGAUCCCGCCAGGCGGUCCUACGAAGCUGGUUAUCAACUCGUGUCAGGGAAAUGUUCAUUCAAAUGUAUCAUCAUUUUGUUGGCUGAAGGACUGCACUAUGGAAAAGCCCCCUCCUACCUCUCCGACCUGCUCCACCAACACAUUCCUUCCCACAGCCUCUGGUCCUCGGAUGUCAACAUCCCGUGUCCACCACUCAGGACCAAGCACCGGACCUGGAGCGACAGAGCAUUCUCCAUAACUAUACCGUCCCUCUGGAACUCACUCCCCAAAAUCAUCCGAGACUGCACCAGCUGUCCACAUUAGAAUUACAAAUCAAACCUCACCUUUUUAUAACUGCUUUUGAUGUAUAAUUCAUGUCAUGUGUUUUAUGUAAUUGUUGUUUUUAUUUCUGACAAUAUUUACUAAUUUUUAUGAAAA